rnacentral:rRNA from 1 species
AUUGAACGCUGGCGGCAUGCCUUACACAUGCAAGUCGAACGGUAACGGGCCUUCGGGUGCCGACGAGUGGCGAACGGGUGAGUAAUACAUCGGAACGUGCCCGAUCGUGGGGGAUAACGAGGCGAAAGCUUUGCUAAUACCGCAUACGAUCUACGGAUUAAAGCAGGGGACCGCAAGGCCUCGCGCGGACGGAGCGGCCGAUGGCAGCUUAGGUAGUUGGUGGGAUAAAAGCUUACCAAGCCGACGAUCUGUAGCUGGUCUGAGAGGAUGAUCAGCCACACUGGGACUGAGACACAGCCCAGACUCCUACGGGAGGCAGCAGUGGGGAAUUUUGGACAAUGGGCGCAAGCCUGAUCCAGCCAUGCCGCGUGCAGGAUGAAGGCCUUCGGGUUGUAAACUGCUUUUGUACGGAACGAAAAGCCUUCUUUUAAUACAGGAGGGUCAUGACGGUACCGUAAGAAUAAGCACCGGCUAACUACGUG